rnacentral:rRNA from 1 species
AACGAACGCUGGCGGCAGGCCUAACACAUGCAAGUCGAACGCCCCGCAAGGGGAGUGGCAGACGGGUGAGUAACACGUGGGAACCUUCCCUAUAGUACGGAAUAGCCCAGGGAAACUUGGAGUAAUACCGUAUACGCCCGAAAGGGGAAAGAAUUUCGCUAUAGGAUGGGCCCGCGUAGGAUUAGCUAGUUGGUGAGGUAAUGGCUCACCAAGGCGACGAUCCUUAGCUGGUUUGAGAGAACGACCAGCCACACUGGGACUGAGACACGGCCCAGACUCCUACGGGAGGCAGCAGUGGGGAAUAUUGGACAAUGGGCGCAAGCCUGAUCCAGCCAUGCCGCGUGAGUGAUGAAGGCCUUAGGGUUGUAAAGCUCUUUUGGCGGGGACGAUAAUGACGGUACCCGCAGAAUAAGACCCGGCUAACUUCGUG